rnacentral:rRNA from 1 species
UUAAGCGACUAAGCGUACACGGUGGAUGCCCUGGCAGUCAGAGGCGAUGAAGGACGUGCUAAUCUGCGAUAAGCGUCGGUAAGGUGAUAUGAACCGUUAUAACCGGCGAUUUCCGAAUGGGGAAACCCAGUGUGAUUCGUCACACUAUCAUUAACUGAAUCCAUAGGUUAAUGAGGCGAACCGGGGGAACUGAAACAUCUAAGUACCCCGAGGAAAAGAAAUCAACCGAGAUUCCCCCAGUAGCGGCGAGCGAACGGGGAGCAGCCCAGAGCCUGAAUCAGUGUGUGUGUUAGUGGAAGCGUCUGGAAAGGCGCGCGAUACAGGGUGACAGCCCCGUACACAAAAAUGCACAUGCUGUGAGCUCGAUGAGUAGGGCGGGACACGUGGUAUCCUGUCUGAAUAUGGGGGGACCAUCCUCCAAGGCUAAAUACUCCUGACUGACCGAUAGUGAACCAGUACCGUGAGGGAAAGGCGAAAAGAACCCCGGCGAGGGGAGUGAAAAAGAACCUGAAACCGUGUACGUACAAGCAGUGGGAGCACAGAGCAAUCUGUGUGACUGCGUACCUUUUGUAUAAUGGGUCAGCGACUUAUAUUCUGUAGCAAGGUUAACCGAAUAGGGGAGCCGAAGGGAAACCGAGUCUUAACUGGGCGUUAAGUUGCAGGGUAUAGACCCGAAACCCGGUGAUCUAGCCAUGGGCAGGUUGAAGGUUGGGUAACACUAACUGGAGGACCGAACCGACUAAUGUUGAAAAAUUAGCGGAUGACUUGUGGCUGGGGGUGAAAGGCCAAUCAAACCGGGAGAUAGCUGGUUCUCCCCGAAAGCUAUUUAGGUAGCGCCUCGUGAAUUCAUCUCCGGGGGUAGAGCACUGUUUCGGCAAGGGGGUCAUCCCGACUUACCAACCCGAUGCAAACUGCGAAUACCGGAGAAUGUUAUCACGGGAGACACACGGCGGGUGCUAACGUCCGUCGUGAAGAGGGAAACAACCCAGACCGCCAGCUAAGGUCCCAAAGUCAUGGUUAAGUGGGAAACGAUGUGGGAAGGCCCAGACAGCCAGGAUGUUGGCUUAGAAGCAGCCAUCAUUUAAAGAAAGCGUAAUAGCUCACUGGUCGAGUCGGCCUGCGCGGAAGAUGUAACGGGGCUAAACCAUGCACCGAAGCUGCGGCAGCGACGCUUAUGCGUUGUUGGGUAGGGGAGCGUUCUGUAAGCCUGUGAAGGUGUGCUGUGAGGCAUGCUGGAGGUAUCAGAAGUGCGAAUGCUGACAUAAGUAACGAUAAAGCGGGUGAAAAGCCCGCUCGCCGGAAGACCAAGGGUUCCUGUCCAACGUUAAUCGGGGCAGGGUGAGUCGACCCCUAAGGCGAGGCCGAAAGGCGUAGUCGAUGGGAAACAGGUUAAUAUUCCUGUACUUGGUGUUACUGCGAAGGGGGGACGGAGAAGGCUAUGUUGGCCGGGCGACGGUUGUCCCGGUUUAAGCGUGUAGGCUGGUUUUCCAGGCAAAUCCGGAAAAUCAAGGCUGAGGCGUGAUGACGAGGCACUACGGUGCUGAAGCAACAAAUGCCCUGCUUCCAGGAAAAGCCUCUAAGCAUCAGGUAACAUCAAAUCGUACCCCAAACCGACACAGGUGGUCAGGUAGAGAAUACCAAGGCGCUUGAGAGAACUCGGGUGAAGGAACUAGGCAAAAUGGUGCCGUAACUUCGGGAGAAGGCACGCUGAUAUGUAGGUGAAGUCCCUCGCGGAUGGAGCUGAAAUCAGUCGAAGAUACCAGCUGGCUGCAACUGUUUAUUAAAAACACAGCACUGUGCAAACACGAAAGUGGACGUAUACGGUGUGACGCCUGCCCGGUGCCGGAAGGUUAAUUGAUGGGGUUAGCGCAAGCGAAGCUCUUGAUCGAAGCCCCGGUAAACGGCGGCCGUAACUAUAACGGUCCUAAGGUAGCGAAAUUCCUUGUCGGGUAAGUUCCGACCUGCACGAAUGGCGUAAUGAUGGCCAGGCUGUCUCCACCCGAGACUCAGUGAAAUUGAACUCGCUGUGAAGAUGCAGUGUACCCGCGGCAAGACGGAAAGACCCCGUGAACCUUUACUAUAGCUUGACACUGAACAUUGAGCCUUGAUGUGUAGGAUAGGUGGGAGGCUUUGAAGUGUGGACGCCAGUCUGCAUGGAGCCGACCUUGAAAUACCACCCUUUAAUGUUUGAUGUUCUAACGUUGACCCGUAAUCCGGGUUGCGGACAGUGUCUGGUGGGUAGUUUGACUGGGGCGGUCUCCUCCUAAAGAGUAACGGAGGAGCACGAAGGUUGGCUAAUCCUGGUCGGACAUCAGGAGGUUAGUGCAAUGGCAUAAGCCAGCUUGACUGCGAGCGUGACGGCGCGAGCAGGUGCGAAAGCAGGUCAUAGUGAUCCGGUGGUUCUGAAUGGAAGGGCCAUCGCUCAACGGAUAAAAGGUACUCCGGGGAUAACAGGCUGAUACCGCCCAAGAGUUCAUAUCGACGGCGGUGUUUGGCACCUCGAUGUCGGCUCAUCACAUCCUGGGGCUGAAGUAGGUCCCAAGGGUAUGGCUGUUCGCCAUUUAAAGUGGUACGCGAGCUGGGUUUAGAACGUCGUGAGACAGUUCGGUCCCUAUCUGCCGUGGGCGCUGGAGAAUUGAGGGGGGCUGCUCCUAGUACGAGAGGACCGGAGUGGACGCAUCACUGGUGUUCGGGUUGUCAUGCCAAUGGCACUGCCCGGUAGCUAAAUGCGGAAGAGAUAAGUGCUGAAAGCAUCUAAGCACGAAACUUGCCCCGAGAUGAGUUCUCCCUGACUCCUUGGAGAGUCCUGAAGGAACGUUGAAGACGACGACGUUGAUAGGCCGGGUGUGUAAGCGCAGCGAUGCGUUGAGCUAACCGGUACUAAUGAACCGUGAGGCUUAACCUU